ACAACCCCUGAAAAUGUCAAAAGCGACACAAAUUUUGCAGAGAAAAUUCUAAAUAACUGACUUCCUGUUGGGAUUCGAAUUUCGUACCAAGAGACUUUUUUGUAGGUAUUGGUGUGUUACAUGUGUGUACCGAUUUUUGUACAUGUACGUGAAACGUAGCUCGAGGCGCACUCCGUUGAAAAUGUAUAGGUGGCGCUAUCGAGGCAUUUUGCCACACCCAAUGGAAUAUUGGCCUUCAGAUGUGUUCAGGCCAGGACUCUUAUCGAACAUGUGAAGUUUGGGGAAGAUCGGACAUCUUAUGCCUGAGUUACAACAACUUCUAUUCCCAUGGCGAGACAUCGAACUUUGUCACAGCGCCAUGGCCACACCCUUUAAUGAAACCUCAAGAUGUUCACAAUU
ensembl:lncRNA